CCUACGGGCGGCAGCAGUCGAGAAUCAUUCACAAUGGGGGAAACCCUGAUGGUGCGACGCCGCGUGGGGGAAUGAAGGUCUUCGGAUUGUAAACCCCUGUCAUGUGGGAGCAAAUUAAAAAGAUAGUACCACAAGAGGAAGAGACGGCUAACUCUGUGCCAGCAGCCGCGGUAAUACAGAGGUCUCAAGCGUUGUUCGGAAUCACUGGGCGUAAAGUGUGCGUAGGCUGUUUCGUAAGUCGUGUGUGAAAGGCGCGGGCUCAACCCGCGGACGGCACAUGAUACUGCGAGACUAGAGUAAUGGAGGGGGAACCGGAAUUCUCGGUGUAGCAGUGAAAUGCGUAGAUAUCGAGAGGAACACUCGUGGCGAAGGCGGGUUCCUGGACAUUAACUGACGCUGAGGCACGAAGGCCAGGGGAGCGAAAGGGAUUAGAUACCCUGGUAGUC
rnacentral:rRNA from 1 species